rnacentral:tRNA from 1 species
CGGGGUGUAGCGCAGCCAGGUAGCGCACCUGAAUGGGGUUCAGGUGGUCGGAGGUUCGAAUCCUCUCACCCCGACCA